AACGAACGCUGGCGGCAGGCUUAACACAUGCAAGUCGAACGGUUGUAGCAAUACAGCAGUGGCAGACGGGUGAGUAACACGUGGGAACCUUCCUAGGGGUACGGAACAACUCAGGGAAACUUGAGCUAAUACCGUAUACGUCCGUGAGGAGAAAGAUUUAUCGCCCUUAGACGGGCCCGCGUCGGAUUAGCUAGUUGGUGGGGUAACGGCCUACCAAGGCGACGAUCCGUAGCUGAUCUUAGAGGAUGAUCAGCCACACUGGGACUGAGACACGGCCCAGACUCCUACGGGAGGCAGCAGUGGGGAAUCUUAGACAAUGGGCGCAAGCCUGAUCUAGCCAUGCCGCGUGAGCGAUGAAGGCCUUAGGGUUGUAAAGCUCUUUUACCCGGGAUGAUAAUGACAGUACCGGGAGAAUAAGCUCCGGCUAACUCCGUGCCAGCAGCCGCGGUAAGGCGUAUGUGU
rnacentral:rRNA from 1 species